CACGUUCAUCCAUUUCGCUCUCAGUAAAGGGUCGUCGACGGAGUUGACGUGGUCGCCGAUUCGGGCAACGGCUCCGUCGAAGAAGAUGAUAGAGGUGUCGUAGAGUCCUUCCGCCGCGUAUUCUCUCGCCAAUUUAAGGUGCUCAUGCAUGCCACUCAACCAACUCCUCCCACUCAUUUUUAAUUUUUUUCUUUUUCAUUUCACACCAACAAUGAUGUUUUCUUCUUCAUUUCAUCUGGGUUCGUUCUUUCAUCGUGAGGUUAGCGUUACUCUGUGUCUGUGUGGGAAGGGUAGGGUAGGAUCGGAUUUGGAGUGGUUGGCGUUGGCUGCUGGUAACGGAAUGGACCCACCACCACCCAACAAGCUUGGCAUUUCCAUCUAAUUUUUGAACCACUAUCACUAUCACUAUCACUGUCAAUUCCAGCGCCGCCACCUUCCACCAACUCCUUUUCAUUUUCUUUACUUUUAACUUAGUUAAUCGAUAUUACCCGUUCAUGUAUGAUCUGUUGCACCGAACCUUAGCUAAAAGUGAAAGUGAAAGGCUAGUUUUCACACCCAACAAAUUGUGAUGUUUGAUAUGGGAUCAAAUAAUCAGUACUAUAUCUAUCUGUUGUUACGCUUGAUGCGAAUAUAAUCUUGAGGUUGCUUGAAGUAUGCACUGACACUUCCCAAACUGAAGCGACAACAACCAGCCAGUUCUAACAACCAAUGACUAAUGGUGCAAAUUGUUUGUUGUGGCAUUAAGUUAACGAAUGAGGAUGGCAAAAUGAGGUAUUUAGUCACGAUAAAACAAGAGAGACAGAGGACAACGGAAGUGUUUCUACGGUCAAAUUUUAAUUACUGUUUGCUUCUACAUCAUGUGUCAGAUCUAAAGAAUAGUAUAACUUAAUAUUACGAUGAAUGUGUUCAUAAACUGGUUAGUAUAUAUGUUAGAGCAACAAAAGAUCGAGCCAUUACAGACAGCACAUUCAAGUGUAAAUAGGUGACUGAUAAAAUGGAAGACAAUUGAGGAGUUAUAAGUUAUAAUUUCUAAGACCAGAAAUCCACCACAACCAUUCUGCUGUAAAUAUCUUAUUUGUGAAGGAUGGAUGAAAUAAAUUUCCAUAAAGCUUUAAAAAACAAGAAGGGUCCUUCUUGAUUGUUGGGUCAGAUUUAAUGAUAGUUAGAUCAAUCAGACAAGUUUCUAUGAAAGAAGUGCAUGCAUGCAUUUGAAGCCAAUGUUUUGAAAUAUAUCAAAAUGAAAAUAAUUAAAACUUGCAAUCCCACAACUUGACCGGGUAGAAAGUAAAUCCUCCAUUUAUUCAAAAUUCAUCAGUUGCAAACUUGCUACAUUGGCAAGUGAAAUUUCUUUCUAUUGAUAUCUACUGGUGUUUUUUCUUUUCCACUAUGGAGGCUUGGUUUGCUUGGGAAGGGGAUGUUCUAUGAUUAAUCUCAGUUACUGACGCAGUCCAUCUCUAACCAAUUCUUCUAAGCCUUUCUUGAGUCUUUCUGCAGCAGCUCUGCAAUCAUUCUCUGUCAAGCCUCCAAAUGAAAUUCUAAGAUUGCCAGGACAACCACAUGCUUUUCCUGGGAUUACUGCAACACCAUGCUUGUUAGCGAGCCAGCGAACAACAUCAAAAUCAUCGUAGGCAUUUGCAUGUGGGAGCUUCGCCCAGAG
rnacentral:lncRNA from 1 species